rnacentral:rRNA from 1 species
GUCGACACGGUACUGCCGGGUCCUUUAAAGCCGGAGGAAGGUGGGGAUGACGUCAAGUCAGCAUGGCCUUUAUGUCCUGGGCUACACACACGCUACAAUGGCCAACACAAUAGGUUGCUAAGCCGCGAGGUGGAGCCAAUCCUCAAAGUUGGUCUCAGUUCAGAUUGCAGGCUGCAACCCGCCUGCAUGAAGAUGGAGUUGCUAGUAACCGCAGGUCAGCUAUACUGCGGUGAAUACGUUCCCGGGGCUU